AAAAAAAUAUAAAAGUAUUUUGAUAAAUAUUUUAUUGGCUAUAUUUAAGGCUGUAAAUAUAUUUUAUUUUUCAGGCCUAAAAGGAUAAGCUUUUAGGUUUAAAAUAGUUAAGAUUUAUAACAUUAAAUAUAAAAUUAUGUGGACUUAGAAUUAGUCACCAUUAAAGUUUGUUAUAAAAUAUUUUCUAAAUAAUCACAAAAUUUUUAUAUUUCUAUUCUAAUAAUCUAAUGAAGAUAAUAAUUUUAAUUAAGAUAAAUUUUUUACCUAUGCUAAAAUGAGUAUUAUACUGAUUUUUUUAAAUAAUUUAUAUAACUAUCUUUAUUAAUUUUAAAAACACUAAUUAGGAAAAAGGAACUCGGCAAAAUUUGUUUCGCCUGUUUAUCAAAAACAUGGCUCUUUGUACAAUAUAAAUAAAGAGUCCAACCUGCCCAGUGAAAUUUUUAACGGCCGCGGUACUCUGACCGUGCAAAGGUAGCAUAAUCAUUUGCCUUAUAAUUAAAGGCUAGUAUGAAUGGUUUAACGAAAACAAAACUGUCUCUUUCCUAAUAUCUAAAAACUAACCUAUAGGUGAAGAGGCCUAUAUAAAAUUAAAGGACAAGAAGACCCUAUCGAGCUUAAAAGACAUUAUUAAAAGUAAUAUAUCUAUUGAGAUAUAUAAUUCAUUAGCUUUUUAGUUGGGGCGACUGAGGAACAAAUAAAGCUUCUUUUUUCAUACAUAACAUAUAGGUUUAGACCCAAUAUAUUAAUUGAUCAAAAGAAUUAGUUACCGUAGGGAUAACAGCAUAAUCUCUCUUAAGAGAUCCAAUCGAAAGGGGGGGUUGUGACCUCGAUGUUGGAUUAGAGUAUCCUCAAGAUGCAGAUGUCU
rnacentral:rRNA from 1 species